ensembl:lncRNA
CAUUAUUGCAGUAUGUUUUACAAGAAAAUACUAUUUCAGUCUUUCUACUUCAAAAUUUCACUUACUUGCUGAUUGUUGAAAUUAUUUGUGAAAUUCACUAUCAAUUUCUAAGUGAAUUUUUUUUUUAAGGAAAUCCUACACCAACAUUUCUUUUUCAUUAUGGAAUUUCCUUCACCAGAAAGCAGAAAACACAAGGCUUUAAUGCCUUAAAGUGCUGUCUAGGAAGGUGGCUCACUAGGUUUUGGAAACUGCAUUCGGGGAGGUUAGAGAAAGGGCUGGUUACUCACUGUGGGCUGGUCGAAUGCUCUACUUUCCAUUAAUGGUAACUGGAGCUAAUCCGUGCAUGAAGGGUCAGGCUGUUCAACAGACCACAACACAGAUCCGACUGUAAUCUCUCUCCUGCAUGCAAGGCUCAGAUUUACUGCAACACAGAAUCACAUUCAUCACUGAAAGGACAAUACAUUUCACUCUCAGCUUUCCAUCGCCUUCACUGUGAAAUUAAUAGAUGUAACCUUCGCAACCUUCUGUUAAAUAUAAAGUGUUUGCGGUCUCAGAGUCGCUGCUGAUAUUACUAUUUUUAGAGCGUUGAGAAGUGAUAAAAUUCUCUGAAAUCCAUCCGAGCGAAUAACCUCUGGAUGUCAGCCACUGACAUCUGAGCAGGGAAAUAAUAAGCAGCAGCUGUUGUUAUUGUUUUGUUCACGACAUGAAAUUCCAGAGAUCCCAGAAAACAUGAAGGUCAAAGGUCAAAGGUCAGCGCAGCUACAAUAACUGACCUCUCUGCAGUGUCCCACAGCUGAAGACGGUCAGCUCUUGUUUAAAGUCCUAAAACUGCAUAUCCAUCCUCAAUAAUGAGAGAGAAUAAAUCAUAUUACAUUCACAAAAAUGCCUGAAAGAUCCACUGUUUUUAUGCUUUCUCGUGUUAUAUUGCCCACGUAAAAGUGAAACAAGAAUACAAUUUAAAGGAAUAGUUCACCCAAAAAUGAAAAUAUGCUGAAAAACUAAAAUACAUAGAGUCCAUAAUCCAUAAUAACACUUCCUCCAGUGAAAAAGUGCAUCUCCUGUUGUCUCUCACAUCAAAAUCCAGACACAUAUUUGUUUAGAGCUGUUUAAACGCUGCUUGAUCUGUGCAGAUUUCUCUCCUGAUUCACACCAGAACACUUUUUCACUGGAGGAAGUGUUAUUAUGGAUUAUAGACUCAUAUUUUAAAUUAAAAACAUCUUAAUGCUGGAUUUGUUUCAUCUUUUGUCUUCUCCAGAUGUUAACUGCUGGACUGGAGUGCUGUGG